rnacentral:rRNA from 1 species
GUCGGAUGUGAAAUCCCCGGGCUCAACCUGGGAACUGCAUCCGAAACUGGCAGGCUUGAGUCUUGUAGAGGGGGGUAGAAUUCCAGGUGUAGCGGUGAAAUGCGUAAAGAUCUGGAGGAAUACCGGUGGCGAAGGCGGCCCCCUGGACAAAGACUGACGCUCAGGUGCGAAAGCGUGGGGAGCAAACAGGAUUAGAUACCCUGGUAGUCCACGCCGUAAACGAUGUCGACUUGGAGGUUGUGCCCUUGAGGCGUGGCUUCCGGAGCUAACGCGUUAAGUCGACCGCCUGGGGAGUACGGCCGCAAGGUUAAAACUCAAAUGAAUUGACGGGGGCCCGCACAAGCGGUGGAGCAUGUGGUUUAAUUCGAUGCAACGCGAAGAACCUUACCUGGUCUUGACAUCCACAGAACUUUCCAGAGAUGGAUUGGUGCCUUCGGGAACUGUGAGACAGGUGCUGCAUGGCUGUCGUCAGCUCGUGUUGUGAAAUGUUGGGUUAAGUCCCGCAACGAGCGCAACCCUUAUCCUUUGUUGCCAGCGGUUAGGCCGGGAACUCAAA